rnacentral:rRNA from 1 species
UACGAAGGGGGCUAGCGUUGUUCGGAUUCAUUGGGCGUAAAGGGUGCGUAGGCGGCGCGGUAAGUCGGGUGUGAAAUCUCGGGGCUUAACUCCGAACUGCAUUCGAUACUGCCGUGCUUGAGGACUGGAGAGGAGACUGGAAUUACGGUGUAGCGGUGAAAUGCGUAGAUAUCGUAAGGAAGACCAGUGGCGAAGGCGGGUCUC